GCUGGGUGUGGUGGCGCGCGCCUGUAGUCCCAGCUACUCAGGAGGCUGAGGCAGGAGAAUUGCUUGAACCCAGGAGGCGGAGGUUGCAGUGAGCUGAGAUCCUGUCACUGCACUCCAGCCUGGGCAACAGAGUGAAACUCUGUCUCAA
ensembl:misc_RNA Metazoa_SRP Metazoan signal recognition particle RNA